rnacentral:ncRNA from 1 species
AAAAUUCUAUGUGUAAAAUUUUACAUAUAAAUAAAUUUUUUAUGGUUUAAAAAAAUUUAUUUUAAGUUUAUUUUACAUAUAAAUUUUAGUGUUAAUUAUUAAUUAUUUAAAUAAUAUUUAAUAUUUAGGUAGUAAUUAGUAUUAAAAAUUUAAGAAAUUAAGAUUUAGUAAUAUGAAUUAAUUAAUAACUAAUUUUGUGCCAGCAGUUGCGGUUAAACAAAAGUUAAUUUUAAAUUUUUUUAGUGAUUAAUAAAUACAAAUAAAAAAAAAUAAUUUAAAUUUAAAAUUAUAAGGUGAAAUUUAAAUUUUAUAAAAAAUUAUAAAAUUAUUAUGAUUUAAUAAAUUUUAUAAAAAACUAGGAUUAGAUACCCUAUUAUUAAAAAUUUAAAUUAAUAAUACUUAAAAAGUAGGUAAUUAAAUAUUGAAACUUAAAUAAUUUGGCGGUAUUUUAGUUUAUUUAGAGGAAUCUGUUUAAUAAUUGAUAAUCCACGAUUAAAUUUACUUAAUUUAUUAUUUUGUAUAUCGUUGUUAAAAAAAUAUUUUUUAAUAAAAAUAAUAUUUAAAGUUUUAAAAUAAAAGUUAAAUCAGAUCAAGAUGCAGAUUAUAAUUAAGAAUAUAAUGGAUUACAAUAAAUUUAUUUAAUUUGGAAUUUAAAAUGGAAAUAUUUAAAUGAAAAUGGAUUUAAAUGUAAUUUUAUUUAAAUAAAUAAAAUGAUUAAAUAUUAAAAUAUGUACAUAUUGCCCGUCGCUUUCAUUUAUAAAUUGAAAUAAGUCGUAACAAAGUAGAAGUACUGGAAAGUGUUUCUAGAAAGA